GGCACAGUGCGCGUGCGCACGGCAAUUGCCGGAGGUGGGUUCCGGGGGAGGCGGUGCCGGAGGCAUCGCGGAGGAUCGCCGAGUACCCAGAACGAAACGUUGAUGGAAGAGAACUGAGAGAAUCGAUCUCAUCCGCUGGCAUUCGGUCUUCCCGCGUCUGUCCAGAUUACCUGAGCAGCGAAUGCAUUCUCAAUUUUAUUCUAUUAUAUUCUUGGUUUUAAGAGGUGCCCACUCACCCCUCAGCCAAGAUGAAUCUGGAGGUGAAGUCUUCUGGGACCAGCAAGCCGCAUUAUGGCCUGGAAUUAUCCUCUGACUUUUGACACACCCGGAGCCUUUCUGCCGGCAUGGGCAAACAGGAGGCUGAUUGUAAAGGCCUAAACUGGAGCCCACCUAUCUCCUGUCUCAGGAAAUGCUAACAGAAGGCUAGUUGUAAGGAUCCAGCCUGAAGCCCACUUCUUCCUGCCCCAUGAAAUGCAAAAAGGAGGCAAGUUGUAAACGUCCAAACUGGAGCUCGACUGUCUCCUACCUCAUUCCCAGUUUGUUCUGCUGCAUGGUCCUGCAAGGAGCACCACUGAGGCACGCCUUAAGGCUGAGGGUCAUGUGAGCUGGCUCAACACCCAGGCCACCACCGCCACCAUCGCGAGUUCUACUAGCUCCCUAGCCCCUAUUUUCAGAGACUUUACCUGACUUUGGGAGUAUAUUUUCAUUUGUAUGACUGUGAUAGAAUGUCCUUUUUUUUUUUUUUUGGAAUUCUUUAUUGGAUUUGUUACAAUAUUGCUUCUGUUUUUGUGUGUGUGUGUGUUUUUUUAAUGUUUUGACUUUUUGGCCACAAGGUAUGUGGGAUCCUAGCUCCCCACACCCCCUGCCCUGGAAGGUGAAGUCUUAACCACUGGACUGCCAGGGAGGUCCCUAAAUG
ensembl:lncRNA